UCGGGAAUUUUGGGCAAUGGGCGAAAGCCUGACCCAGCAACGCCGCGUGAGUGACGAAGGCCUUAGGGUUGUAAAACUCUUUCGUCGGGGACGAUAAUGACGGUACCCGAAGAAGAAGCUCCGGCUAACUUCGUGCCAGCAGCCGCGGUAAUACGAAGGGAGCUAGCGUUGUUCGGAAUCACUGGGCGUAAAGCGCACGUAGGCGGAUAGUUAAGUCAGGGGUGAAAUCCUGGGGCUCAACCCCAGAACUGCCUUUGAUACUGGCUGUCUCGAGGUCGAGAGAGGUUGGUGGAAUUCCUAGUGUAGAGGUGAAAUUCGUAGAUAUUAGGAAGAACACCAGUGGCGAAGGCGGCUCACUGGAUCGGUACUGACGCUGAGGUGCGAAAGCGUGGGGAGCAAACAGGAUUAGAUACCCAAGUAGUCCCUGAGCGGGCUGGCAAGGCGCAU
rnacentral:rRNA from 1 species